CAAGUACUCCCUCCGUCCGGAAUUACUUGCCAUCAAAAUGGAUGUGUCUAGAACUAAAAUCUAUCUAGAUACAUCCAUUUCAAUGACAAGUAUUUCCGGGCGGAGGGCGUACAAG
rfam:Triticum aestivum genome assembly, contig: Triticum_aestivum_CS42_TGACv1_scaffold_328959_4BS